GACGAACGCUGGCGGCGUGCUUAACACAUGCAAGUCGAACGGAAAGGCCCUGCUUUUGUGGGGUGCUCGAGUGGCGAACGGGUGAGUAACACGUGAGUAACCUGCCCUUGACUUUGGGAUAACUUCAGGAAACUGGGGCUAAUACCGGAUAGGAGCUCCUGCUGCAUGGUGGGGGUUGGAAAGUUUCGGCGGUUGGGGAUGGACUCGCGGCUUAUCAGCUUGUUGGUGGGGUAGUGGCUUACCAAGGCUUUGACGGGUAGCCGGCCUGAGAGGGUGACCGGGCACAUUGGGACUGAGAGACGGCCCAGAGUCCUACGGGAGGCAGCAGUGGGGAAUAUUGCACAAUGGGCGGGAGCCUGAUGCAGCAACGCCGCGUGCGGGAUGACGGCCUUCGGGUUGUAAACCGCUUUCGCCUGUGACGAAGCGUGAGUGACGGUAAUGGGUAAAGAAGCACCGGCUAACUACGUG
rnacentral:rRNA from 1 species